rnacentral:tRNA from 1 species
GCCGCCUUAGCUCAGUUGGUAGAGCAACGCUUUUGUAAAGCGUGGGUCCCCGGUUCAAGCCCGGGAGGCGGCUCCA